CCAAUGGGCCGAAAUAAAGGAGGGACACUAUAGCGCAGUAAAUUACUGUGCUAUAGCAGUUAACGGAGCCGUCCUCGUUAACUGUUUUAGCGCAGUAAAUUACUGCGCUAAAGGUAGGUUGGUAACAUUUUUUUUUUGUUGGGAUAUUUUGGUUCAAAAUGUUUUUUUUUUUUGGGCAUUUUGAUUCCGGACUCUACUCCCUACUCCCUCACGUCCCAUUUUUCAUGAUGCACAAUUGCACUUUGUUACAAAUACAACACACAGACACAGAUAUCUAUAUAAACAUACACACAUAAAAAAGAAAAGGACACACGAUAGAAAACACACAGAAAAAACAGUAAACAGAGAGUAAAAAAAAAAAAAAGAAACACUGAGAGCCAAAUACCGAGAGAGCAAAAAAUACUGAGAGAGAAAAAUACCAGUUCCGAAAAGAUUUGGUUUGGAAAUUAAGUUUGAGUUCGAGGUUUUGUUCGCUGUUCCGAGUUUGUGGACCUGAAGGUUAGCUUUGAAAAUCUGUAGAAUGUUCUUGCUUUCCAUUGUUAAUGGAAAUGAAUUCAAAGAUUUUGGACGAAAUUUGGAUUGACGCCGAGCGAGCAUAAGGCGCCAUCGAGGUACAGACGCACCAGGUGAUACGCCGCCAGCGUAGGUUUCCGACUCUGCUAUCUGAAGAGCUCCUUUGACCCGGAGCAUAUCUUUUGGUAUAUAUUUUAUGUCUUCUGUGUACUCCGUAUGCGUGUAUAUUCCGGGUACGGCGGGGCCCUGUCCCGUUAUAUGAUUCUGUAUGUCUGUAGAGGCCUGUAGAUAGAUGUGUGGGUUACGGGUUCCGUCUGUAUGUUAGCCCUAUCGGCUUAUCUGUAAAUGUCUGUGU